rfam:Parcubacteria (Nomurabacteria) bacterium GW2011_GWE1_35_16 TR64_C0001, whole genome shotgun sequence.
GGUUUGUAUUGGAUGGAUGCGCCUGCCUUAUCGGUGGGUGAGGAAAGUCCGGGCACAUAUUCAAGCAUUGCUUGAUUAAACGUAGCGGGUAAUACCCGUCGCCUGUAAGGGUAGAGUUGCGAACAGAGACGAGCUGCAACAUUAAUGAAAAUUAGUGUUCGGGUGAAACGGCAAAAUACUUACGCGUGUGCAAGAUCGUACUAGAUGAGCAAUCAUCUUUUGAAUCGCUUGAGGUGUAGAGUAAUUUACAUCCUAGAUAAAUAUCUAUUACCCUAGCAAUAGGGAACAGAACCCGGCUUAUAGAUACAAACCAAAU